AGUAAAGUCAGCUAAUUUAGCUCUCGGUCCCAUGCACCGAACAUGUCGGUUAAGGUCCCUCCUUUACUA
rnacentral:tRNA from 1 species